AAACUCUUAAUAAUUCUCCUUAA
rnacentral:snRNA from 1 species